AUGCAAGGGGGUGGGGAGGUGGACUUGGUGUUAAAGAGAAAACCACACUGUCGACAAGAGCCAGACUUCAAAAGCAUCUAAAGAAACAAAGACAAAGCUGCCAUCAUCAUUUGUUAGUAGACAGUUGUCAUGGAGUGGGGAUUGACUCACUUUAAGCAAAGGAAUGCAUCCAGCAUUGUUUAAAGAGGGAGGCAACAGCCAAGAAGAGCUAUGUGAGGCCUCUCUUGGCCCUCCAGUUCUUCAUUAGGGAGCAAAGAAAGGAGGACUUUGCCAAGAGCAAACCUGAAACAUUCCUUUGGGUUCAGUUCAAUCGCCUGCAAGUCACGUUUCCACACAAACAUGUCCCCAGGACUGAGGAUGCAAGGCACUGUUCAAGGCGUCUCUUGGAUGAAGACAUGGCAAAAGCUACCACCACCAUGCAGCUCUGUGAUGCUUCUACUAGUGUCUUCCAUUGGCUGAACUCAGCUGAACACUACAGGGUAAAGAAGCCCAGAUGAUGCUGUCUGUUGAAGUCAGUUUCUUGAAGCACAAAGCAGGUAAGGGGAAAGGUGAAAAGUGGAUCUGGAGGAACAAACAGGAUAUACCCUGCAAAAUCAUUGAUAUUACUAUUUCUAAAAUAGAAAAAAUACACAAAUUUAAAAAGUGAUGGCAUUUGAAACUUACUUCUGUCAUCAAAUGUGAUAAAAAUAAUUCCCAUCUAAUAAAAUUAUUGGGUAACCUUGAAAAUCAAC
rnacentral:lncRNA from 1 species